rnacentral:rRNA from 1 species
ACGCUGGCGGCACGCCUAACACAUGCAAGUCGAACGAAGUAGCAAUACUUAGUGGCAGACGGGUGAGUAACAUGUGGGUAUCUACCCUUUGGCCUGGAAUAACACGAGGAAACUUGUGCUAAUACCAGAUAAGUCUUUACGGAGAAAGCUUUAUGCACCAUUGGAUGAGCCUGCACUUGAUUAGUUUGUUGGUGGGGUAAUGGCCUACCAAGACUGUGAUCAAUAGCUGAUUUGAGAGGAUGAUCAGCCACAUUGGGACUGAGACACGGCCCAAACUCCUACGGGAGGCAGCAGUGGGGAAUCUUGCACAAUGGAGGAAACUCUGAUGCAGCGAUGCCGCGUGAGUGAAGAAGGCCCUUGGGUUGUAAAGCUCUUUCGUCGGGGAAGAAAAUGACUGUACCCGAAUAAGAAGGUCCGGCUAACUUCGUGCCAGCAGCCGCGGUAAUACGAAGGGACCUAGCGUAGUUCGGAAUUACUGGGCUUAAAGAGUUCGUAGGUGGUUGAAAAAGUUAGUGGUGAAAUCCCAGAGCUUAACUCUGGAACUGCCAUUAAAACUUUUCAGCUAGAGUAUGAUAGAGGGAAGCAGAAUUUCUAGUGUAGAGGUGAAAUUCGUAGAUAUUAGAAAGAAUACCAAUUGCGAAGGCAGCUUUCUGGAUCAUUACUGACACUGAGGAACGAAAGCAUGGGUAGCGAAGAGGAUUAGAUACCCUCGUAGUCCAUGCCGUAAACGAUGUGUGUUAGACGUUGGAAAUUUAUUUUCAGUGUCGCAGCGAAAGCGAUAAACACACCGCCUGGGGAGUACG